rnacentral:rRNA from 1 species
AUUGAACGCUGGCGGCAGGCCUAACACAUGCAAGUCGAACGAGUGGCGGACGGGUGAGUAAUGUCUGGGAAACUGCCCGAUGGAGGGGGAUAACUACUGGACACGGUAGCUAAUACCGCAUACCAUCGGAUGUGCCCAGAUGGGAUUAGCUAGUAGGUGGGGUAACGGCUCACCUAGGCGACGAUCCCUAGCUGGUCUGAGAGGAUGACCAGCCACACUGGAACUGAGAAACGGUCCAGACUCCUACGGGAGGCAGCAGUGGGGAAUCUUGCACAAUGGGCGAAAGCCUGACGCAGCAAUGCCGCGUGUGUGAAGAAGGUCUUCGGGUCGUAAAGCUCUGUCAGUAGGGAGGCGGUACCUAAAGAAGAAGCAACGGCUAACUACGUGCCAGCAGCCGCGGUAAUUC